GGACGAACGCUGGCGGCGUGCCUAAUACAUGCAAGUCGAGCGGAGCUGAUGAGGUGCUUGCACCUCUGAUGCUUAGCGGCGGACGGGUGAGUAACACGUAGGUAACCUGCCUGUAAGACUGGGAUAACUACCGGAAACGGUAGCUAAUACCGGAUAAUUUAUUUYYUCUCCUGGRGAGAUAAUGAAAGACGGAGCAAUCUGUCACUUACAGAUGGGCCUGCGGCGCAUUAGCUAGUUGGUGAGGUAACGGCUCACCAAGGCGACGAUGCGUAGCCGACCUGAGAGGGUGAACGGCCACACUGGGACUGAGACACGGCCCAGACUCCUACGGGAGGCAGCAGUAGGGAAUCUUCCGCAAUGGGCGAAAGCCUGACGGAGCAACGCCGCGUGAGUGAUGAAGGUUUUCGGAUCGUAAAGCUCUGUUGCCAGGGAAGAACGUCCGGUAGAGUAACUGCUACCGGAGUGACGGUACCUGAGAAGAAAGCCCCGGCUAACUACGU
rnacentral:rRNA from 1 species